AGAGUUUGAUCCUGGCUCAGGAUGAACGCCGGCGGUGUGCCUAAUACAUGCAAGUCGUACGCACUGGCCCAACUGAUUGAUGGUGCUUGCACCUGAUUGACGAUGGAUCACCAGUGAGUGGCGGACGGGUGAGUAACACGUAGGUAACCUGCCCCGGAGCGGGGGAUAACAUUUGGAAACAGAUGCUAAUACCGCAUAACAACAAAAGCCACAUGGCUUUUGUUUGAAAGAUGGCCUUGGCUAUCACUCUGGGAUGGACCUGCGGUGCAUUAGCUAGUUGGUAAGGUAACGGCUUACCAAGGCGAUGAUGCAUAGCCGAGUUGAGAGACUGAUCGGCCACAAUGGAACUGAGACACGGUCCAUACUCCUACGGGAGGCAGCAGUAGGGAAUCUUCCACAAUGGGCGCAAGCCUGAUGGAGCAACACCGCGUGAGUGAAGAAGGGUUUCGGCUCGUAAAGCUCUGUUGUUGGAGAAGAACGUGCGUGAGAGUAACUGUUCACGCAGUGACGGUAUCCAACCAGAAAGUCACGGCUAACUACGUGCCAGCAGCCGCGGUAAUACGUAGGUGGCAAGCGUUAUCCGGAUUUAUUGGGCGUAAAGCGAGCGCAGGCGGUUGCUUAGGUCUGAUGUGAAAGCCUUCGGCUUAACCGAAGAAGUGCAUCGGAAACCGGGCGACUUGAGUGCAGAAGAGGACAGUGGAACUCCAUGUGUAGCGGUGGAAUGCGUAGAUAUAUGGAAGAGCACCAGUGGCGAAGGCGGCUGUCUGGUCUGCAACUGACGCUGAGGCUCGAAAGCAUGGGUAGCGAACAGGAUUAGAUACCCUGGUAGUCCAUACCGUAAACGAUGAGUGCUAGGUGUUGGAGGGUUUCCGCCCUUCAGUGCCGGAGCUAACGCAUUAAGCACUCCGCCUGGGGAGUACGACCGCAAGGUUGAAACUCAAAGGAAUUGACGGGGGCCCGCACAAGCGGUGGAGCAUGUGGUUUAAUUCGAAGCUACGCGAAGAACCUUACCAGGUCUUGACAUCUUGCGCUAACCUUAGAGAUAAGGCGUUCCCUUCGGGGACGCAAUGACAGGUGGUGCAUGGUCGUCGUCAGCUCGUGUCGUGAGAUGUUGGGUUAAGUCCCGCAACGAGCGCAACCCUUGUUACUAGUUGCCAGCAUUAAGUUGAGCACUCUAGUGAGACUGCCGGUGACAAACCGGAGGAAGGUGGGGACGACGUCAGAUCAUCAUGCCCCUUAUGACCUGGGCUACACACGUGCUACAAUGGACGGUACAACGAGUCGCAAGCUCGCGAGAGUAAGCUAAUCUCUUAAAGCCGUUCUCAGUUCGGACUGUAGGCUGCAACUCGCCUACACGAAGUCGGAAUCGCUAGUAAUCGCGGAUCAGCAUGCCGCGGUGAAUACGUUCCCGGGCCUUGUACACACCGCCCGUCA
rnacentral:rRNA from 1 species